UGGGGAAUAUUGGACAAUGGGCGAAAGCCUGAUCCAGCAAUGCCGCGUGAGUGAUGAAGGCCUUAGGGUUGUAAAGCUCUUUUACCCGGGAUGAUAAUGACAGUACCGGGAGAAUAAGCUCCGGCUAACUCCGUGCCAGCAGCCGCGGUAAUACGGAGGGAGCUAGCGUUGUUCGGAAUUACUGGGCGUAAAGCGCGCGUAGGCGGCUUUGUAAGUUAGAGGUGAAAGCCCGGAGCUCAACUCCGGAAUUGCCUUUGAUACUGCAUCGCUUGGAUCCGGGAGAGGUGAGUGGAAUUCCGAGUGUAGAGGUGAAAUUCGUAGAUAUUCGGAAGAACACCAGUGGCGAAGGCGGCUCACUGGACCGGCAUUGACGCUGGGGUGCGAAAGCGUGGGGAGCAAACAGG
rnacentral:rRNA from 1 species